CAGCCGCCGCGGGAAUACGUAGGUGGCAAGCGUUGUCCGGAAUUAUUGGGCGUAAAGGGCUCGCAGGCGGUUUCUUAAGUCUGAUGUGAAAGCCCCCGGCUCAACCGGGGAGGGUCAUUGGAAACUGGGAAACUUGAGCGCAGAAGAGGAGAGUGGAAUUCCACGUGUAGCGGUGAAAUGCGUAGAGAUGUGGAGGAACACCAGUGGCGAAGGCGACUCUCUGGUCUGUAACUGACGCUGAGGAGCGAAAGCGUGGGGAGCGAACAGGAUUAGAUACCCGAGUAGUCCCUGUCUCUUAUAC
rnacentral:rRNA from 1 species